CUACGGGGUGCUGCAGUGAGGAAUUUUGCGCAAUGGGGGAAACCCUGACGCAGCAACGCCGCGUGAGCGAAGAAGGCCUUCGGGUCGUAAAGCUCUGUCAAGUGGGAAAAAAAUCUUUUGAUCAAUAGUCAAAAGACUUGAUGGUACCACUGGAGGAAGCACCGGCUAACUCCGUGCCAGCAGCCGCGGUAAUACGGAGGGUGCAAGCGUUGUUCGGAAUUACUGGGCGUAAAGAGCGUGUAGGCGGUUUGGCAAGUCAGAUGUGAAAGCCCUGGGCUCAACCUGGGAAGUGCAUUUGAAACUGCUUGACUUGAGUACGGGAGAGGUAUGCGGAAUUCCUGGUGUAGCGGUGGAAUGCGUGGAUAUCAGGAAGAACACCGGUGGCGAAGGCGGCAUACUGGCCCGAUACUGACGCUGAGGUGCGAAAGCGUGGGGAGCAAACGGGAUUAGAUACCCGCGUAGUC
rnacentral:rRNA from 1 species